GGGUUAAGUCCCGCAACGAGCGCAACCCUCAUCCUUAGUUGCCAUCACGUUUGGGUGGGCACUCUAAGGAAACUGCCGGUGGCAAGCCGGAGGAAGGUGGGGAUGACGUCAAGUCCUCAUGGCCCUUACGGGUAGGGCUACACAUGUGCUACAAUGGCAGUGACAAUGGGAUAAUCCCAAAAAGCUGUCUCAGUUCGGAUUGUCGUCUGCAACUCGACGGCAUGCAGGUGGAAUCGCUAGUAAUCGUGGAUCAGCAUGCCACGGUGAAUACGUUCCCGGGCCUU
rnacentral:rRNA from 1 species